rnacentral:rRNA from 1 species
CAGCCGCCGCGGUAAUACGUAGGGUGCAAGCGUUAAUCGGAAUUACUGGGCGUAAAGCGUGCGCAGGCGGUCCGCUAAGACAGAUGUGAAAUCCCCGGGCUUAACCUGGGAACUGCAUUUGUGACUGGCGGGCUAGAGUAUGGCAGAGGGGGGUAGAAUUCCACGUGUAGCAGUGAAAUGCAUAGAGAUGUGGAGGAAUACCGAUGGCGAAGGCAGCCCCCUGGGCCAAUACUGACGCUCAUGCACGAAAGCGUGGGGAGCAAACAGGAUUAGAGACCCCUGUAGUCCCUGUCUCUUAUAC